CAUCGCCUGAGGUUUGUAUCUCAGGUACUGCCUGCCCAAUGAAUAUUUAAUGGCCGCAGUAUUUUGACUGUGCAAAGGUAGCAUAAUCAUUUGUCUCUUAAUUGGAGGCUGGUAUGAAUGGCGUAACGUGGGCCUACUAUACAUCUAACAAAUCUAAAUUUAAUCUAUAAGUCAAAAAGCUUAUAUUACACCGCAGGACGAGAAGACCCCGUAGAUCUUUAUAAUCAUUUUAAUAAUUAAUAUGGCAUUUUAAUUAUUUAUAUAAAAUAAUUUAUUUGGUUGGGGCGACAUGAAGCUUAUAAACGCUUUAAUUAAAAACUCUGAUGAGAGGAUUCCUGACCCGGUUCACCGACUACAAGAACAAGUUACCUCGGGGAUAACAGCGUAAUCUAUUUUAAGAGUUCUUAUCAACAAAUAGGGUUGCGACCUCGAUGUUGGAUUAGGGUGUAGCUAAAGUGCAGUAGCUUUAAGCUAGGGUCUGUUCGACCUUUAAACCCCUACAUGA
rnacentral:rRNA from 1 species